rnacentral:rRNA from 1 species
GACGAACGCUGGCGGCGUGCUUAACACAUGCACGUCGAACGAAGUGGCGAACGGGUGAGUAACGCGUAAUCAAACUGCCCUUCAGAGGGGGAUAACAGUUGGAAACGACUGCUAAUACCGCAUACUGAAGGAGGGGAUUGCGUCUGAUUAGCUAGUUGGAGGGGUAACGGCCAACCAAGGCGAUGAGCAGUCACCGGUCUGAGAGGAUGAACGGCCACAUUGGGACUGAGAAACGGCCCAGACUCCUACGGGGGGCAGCAGUGGGGAAUCUUCCGCAAUUGACGAAAGUCUGACGGCGCAACGCCGCGUGAGUGAUGACGGCUGUCGGGUUGUAAAGCUCUGUUAAUCGGGACGCGGUACCGGAAUAGAAAGCCACGGCUAACUACGUGCCAGCGGCCGCGGUAAUAC